GAUGAACGCUGGCGGCGUGCCUAAUACAUGCAAGUCGAGCGAACGGACGAGAAGCUUGCUUCUCUGAUGUCAGCGGCGGACGGGUGAGUAACACGCGGAUAACCUACCUAUAAGACCGGGAUAACUUCGGGAAACCGGAGCUAAUACCGGAUAAUAUUUUGAACCGCAUGGUUCAAAAGUGAAAGACGGUCUUGCUGUCACUUAUAGAUGGAUCCGCGCUGCAUUAGCUAGUUGGUAAGGUAACGGCUUACCAAGGCAACGAUGCAUAGCCGACCUGAGAGGGUGAUCGGCCACACUGGAACUGAGACACGGUCCAGACUCCUACGGGAGGCAGCAGUAGGGAAUCUUCCGCAAUGGGCGAAAGCCUGACGGAGCAACGCCGCGUGAGUGAUGAAGGUCUUCGGAUCGUAAAACUCUGUUAUUAGGGAAGAACAUAUGUGUAAGUAACUGUGCACAUCUUGACGGUACCUAAUCAGAAAGCCACGGCUAACUACGUG
rnacentral:rRNA from 1 species